AUGAAAAUGGAGCUGGUCGAAAAAAAAGGAAAGCUGAGCUUUCCGUUGACUAUCCUAUUCCUAUACGGUCUUGAAGUUGACUCCUUUAUGUUGUUCGCUCGCAGGUACCUCAUCGUACUUGAUGAUUUAUGGGCUAAACCAGUUUGGGAUGUCAUGAAUGAUAUUUUUCCUCGUAGCACAUAUAGCCAGAUAAUUAUAACAACACGGAUUCCAGACACAGCUUACUCAAUAUCCUCAAAUGUGCAUGAGGUUCAGCCGCUGAACAACCUACAUUCAGAAAGGCUUCUCUUGAGAAAGGCCGGCCUGGAGAAUGGUUAUCUGCCUGACAAUUUGAAACAGUCCUGUAACGAAAUCUUGAGAAGGUGUGAAGGCAUUCCAUUCUUCCUAUCUGGCAACGCUGAAUGGGCGAGUGAACAACAACAAGAGGUGCAGAAAAUCUCUAGCAUCUGCAGUCUAGAGAAAGCCCCCCAAUUGGUGAAAAAAUCUGAAGAGUUGUUUUCACCUUCAUAUGAUUCUCUUUCCUACGGAUCGAAGCUGUUGCUGUUGUAUAUGAGCAUGUUUCCGCACGGUCAUAUCUUUGACAAGGAUAGCCUCAUUAGGAAAUGUGUAGCCCAAGGGCUGGUUGAUUAUAGUGGUGAUGGCCCUCUGGCUUCUGACCUUGUUAGACUAGCUGAGAAAAAUAUUGUCGAGCUGUGCAUCCUGAAUGUUAUCAAAUCAGCAGACUGCAAACUCACUGCUCAAGUGGAGAUGAAGCAGUGGCAAGUCAAUUAUUUCAUGUUACAGUUCCUUGCAUCCAAAGCAGCUGACAAAGGUCUUGCUUGUACCAGCAGUACAAUCGCCUCAGUAGCACCAGCAGCAGGAGAAGGCAAGAAAGUACAGUGGUUGUACCUCCACCGGCCUGAUGCGGAGCUGCCAACACAGCUAAGAAAUUUCGAUUUAUCUCACUGCCGUUCACUACUGGUGUCGGGUGCAGCGAGUGAAAUUCCGUUUGAUAAGCUUAUCCAUUUAGCAGUGUUGGACCUUGAAGGUUGGCAGUGCUUUAAGGAUAUGCAACAGAAUGUUGGUACUUCGGUAUCUGAGCCUGAGGAACACAGAAGUCUAAGUGCUCCCAGCCGAGAUCAAAAAUUUGAGUAG
rnacentral:rRNA from 1 species